GGGCCUGUGGCUCAGCCAGGUAGAGAGUUGUCCUAUAGCGGCUGGCUCUUAACCAGUAGGCCGUGGGUUCAAAUCCCACCAGGCCCGCCA
rnacentral:tRNA from 1 species